AGUCCCGCGUGGCCGGCCUCGCCGGGCCGACUCCAAUUCCCAGCGUGCCCCGCGGGCCCGUGCGUGGCAGCGGCGCGUGACGUCGGGGGAGGGAGCUGGCCAGUGCUGAGGGGGCGCGGCGCGGAGGGGCGCGGAGCCGGGCGGCUAGGGGCCCAGAGAGCGCGGCGGCCGGGAGCCCGCCGGCCCCUGACAGCCCCCUCCCCCUGGCGGACGACGACGACGACGAGGGCGCUGGUCAUGGCGGAGCAGCGAGCCGAGCGCGGGCCCUGAGCACCACCGCAUGGAGCGGGACGAACGGCCUCCUAGCGGAGGGGCAGGCGGCGGGGGCUCGACGGGGUUCCUGGAGCCGCCCGCCGCGCUCCCUCCGCCGCCGCGCAACGGUUUUUGUCAGGAUGACUUGGCAGAGCUCGACCCAGGCACUACUACCAAGUUUCCAAGGCGGUUCUGCCAAAUUGAACCACCCGGGGCUCCAACUUCCCACUUAGAUCAAGAUUUUACAUUCAGAAUUCUCGUUCCUUGAAAUUGCUCAAAGAAAGGGGAAUCAGUGUCUUCAAGUAGCAGGAACCAUCUUGAAGCCCAAGAACCAGGAUGUGCUACAAAAUAUUGAAACCCACAUUGCUCCAACUUGGAGAUGUAGAUGUUUUCAUACUCCUCUUGAAGCCUCUUGAUAUACUUGAAACAAACAAAAAACAAGAAGCAUAAACUCAAUUAAAUAACGUAUUUUAGGGGUUAGUAGCAUAGGAGUCACUGUCUUAGGUGGGUGACUGCCCAGACACUUCCCAGGCACUUUGCAGGGAGCAUCUCUGUAAGUGUUUAGGGAAAUGCUGCUAGCCUUGAUCACAAAGUUGUAAAGAUGACAGCAACAUGUCAGCAUGAAUUCAUGUUCCUCUUAGAACACUGAUAGUGUUCUUCUUCAUUCCUUUACUAAUUCAGCAGCAGAAUCCUAAGAAUUCUUUCUCCUACAUACAGCCCUUGCCAUCAUGGAGCCCACUGUCUACCCAGGGAACUAGACAUAGACCCAUCUGAUGACAAAGAGGAUGUUUGCUGUGCUGGCAGAAUGAUAUAAUCCAUGUUAAAGAUAACAGAGAAAAGAAGUGUUAAUCCUGCUUAGAAGUAUUAGGAAAGGUACAUCUAAAUGGUCACAUUUGAUCUGAGCCUUGAAGGUUUAAUUGAAUUUUCACUAGACACAGAAGGAAAGAUAUUCCAAUAGAGGGAAAACUCUGCACAGCAAACUGUAGAGGCAAGAAAGUUCAGGUAGGGAGAGAUCAACCAAAGGACUUUAUGCAUGCAUAUAAGCCUAACCAAAGGACACGACA